rnacentral:snoRNA from 1 species
ACCCCCUCAGGGUCUCACCUGGAGAGUUUCCAGUACUCUACCAGUUUCAACUAUGGGAGGGAGAAUCAAGCAGGGGUACACCCAUCUCAUUCCUAGCUUGGCCAAUGGCUAGAGAGUGGAAGGCAAUCUGCUACAAGU